rnacentral:rRNA from 1 species
AGUGAACGCUGGCGGUAGGCCUAACACAUGCAAGUCGAACGGCAGCACAGUAAGAGCUUGCUCUUACGGGUGGCGAGUGGCGGACGGGUGAGGAAUACAUCGGAAUCUACUUUUUCGUGGGGGAUAACGUAGGGAAACUUACGCUAAUACCGCAUACGACCUACGGGUGAAAGCAGGGGAUCUUCGGACCUUGCGCGAUUGAAUGAGCCGAUGUCGGAUUAGCUAGUUGGCGGGGUAAAGGCCCACCAAGGCGACGAUCCGUAGCUGGUCUGAGAGGAUGAUCAGCCACACUGGAACUGAGACACGGUCCAGACUCCUACGGGAGGCAGCAGUGGGGAAUAGUGGACAAUGGGCGCAAUCCUGAUCCAGCCAUACCGCGUGGGUGAAGAAGGCCUUCGGGUUGUAAAGCCCUUUUGUUGGGAAAGAAAAGCAGCAGGUUAAUACCCCGCUGUUCUGACGGUACCCAAAGAAUAAGCACCGGCUAACUUCGUG